AGCCGAUAUUGUCGGAUGUGCUAA
rnacentral:siRNA from 1 species